CGAAGGCAGAUUGAAUCCCACCCCCACCCCCACCCCCUCCAUGUGGCCCCAGGGUUGGGAUAGGAGAAGCCCCAGUUCUCCCAGCUUUGGCUUCUCUCUCAUUUCCAACCCUGUGCUUCUUCUCUUGCAAAUAAAUAUCAGAGAUGAUCCUAGGAUUCAUCUUGGACUCUGGGACUAACCUUUGGCUUGGAGAUAUUAGAAGGUCAGAGGAGAUGAUCACAGAGUUCCACCUGGACUGAGCACCCCCUUAACCCAAAGUUUGGGCCCACAAGGGAGCCCGUGGAGCCCAGAGUCCCUGGGACACACCCACCCCAGGGAACACAGUAGUGUCUGGCCCCUGAGUCCCUUGAGUGAGAAGCAGCGGGCUGGCAGUUCAGCUCAUGAAGGUCUGGGGCCUUCCUAUUUAGUCCAGGCUGGCUCUAGAAAUGAGUCCAUUGUGCAGGUCCCUAAAGAGCAAGAUUUGAUCCAGCCAGAUCUGGAACUGUGGAAGAAUGAAGAUCCAUCGGGACAUUUUCCCUUCCUGGGAUUCAGCUCCCUCCCUCCUUUCUUCAGGCCAGAUCUUGCCUUCUGGGACUCUACAGCUUGGGCUCCUGAAGGGACAUGAAAUCUCAACCAGCAAACACAGAGGGAAUGGAGGCGAGAAAGAAGCCUUCCUAUUCACUUCCUAAUACAUGUGCUAACUUACAGAAUGAUUACAACAUGUUCAGCCUGUGUGUGUGCUCCACGUCAAGGGAAGAUGAUAGAGAUCUUAUGGAGAAGCCUAUGUACAUAUCCAAGGGCAUCUGGCCUCGCACCAUGAGCAUCAAUCUGCUUAGAACCUCAGCGAGAAGAGUUGUUUUCUGUUUGGAGUGUUGCUUCUGUUUUCUCCAGUACUCCAGGCGAACCGUUCAUGCUGCUUCUUACACACCUGGCCACUCCUCGAGCCUUCCAGUGACUGAAUGGACACUGAACUUCCUCCCAUCAGGUAGGAUAACCCAACUCAUUUUGUCUGAAUGGUUGGUCUUUUCCUGGUAGUUAAUACCUGUUGCUCUAUCACCUUUCCUGACUGAGAACUCAACACGUUGAACUCUGAGACCUGGAUUUGAAUCCUGUCUGUUGCUUACUGGGUGGGAUGAUCUUAAGCAAUUCACUUACCCCUCUCUAGUCCUCAGUUUCCCCACUUGUAAAAUAAGGGAGCUAGACUAGAUGGAUCUUUUCUCCCCAUGGUGUUUUGUAUUAGUUUCCCAAACAGGGCUUUUGGAGCCUCUGAGUUUUUCCCGCAGUUCUGAUUAUUGAAACUAGAUAUUUUAUUUCCAGCUUCUUCCCUUCUCCAGCCUAGGGAGAUUUGAUAUAGGUUCCUUCUAGAAACUCUUGGGCACUGCCAAUGGCCUGGGGCCCGCCUUAUCAUGACUGACAAUAUGACGCUGAUCCUCUAGGAAACAGGCUUGAACAUUUCAUCUCUGUUUGGAAAAGGAUUUUCAUCUCCACCAGCCUUAGGAGUUUCUGUUUUUCAAAAGAAUAAGAUAUGCCCGUAGUCUCAACCUUAUUCUUGGCACUUCUAUGCCAACCCACACAUGUCAACCUGGCACUGGCAAGUUCUUGAAGCUUCUCCUCCCAUACUCACCCCCCCAUUUUGUGUUGGAUUCUUGUUGAUGAAACACAAUAUACGUUAAAAAAGCAAAGUUUUUUUCUCUAUAGAUCUUCAACAUAAUGGGAAUAUCACCUUCAAGGUACACAACUCUUUCUAUCUUAUGACAAUGGCCUACCUCCCUCAUUGCAGGAUCUAUUUGUCAGUGGUCUGCACCUUUGAGUGGAGUACAAUGGAAAGAAAGCUAAAUCUAGCAUUGAAAGACCUGGGUUUACUUUGAAAGACUUAAGAACUCUGAUCAAUGCAAUGGCCAGCCAUGAUUCCAGGGGACCAAGGAUGAUGAAGGAUGCUACUCAUCUCUUGAUAGAGAGGGGUGGCCUCAGGAUUUGGAAUGAGGUGUAUAUAUGUAUAUAUAUACUAAAUAUAUAUAUAUGUAUAUGUAUUUAG
ensembl:lncRNA